AUGCUAAAUUCAACAUUUGGCUAUAGCCAAGUAACCCAAUAGCAUGGAUCAAGUAAUGGAUAAUAGAUAGCAAAUAAUGGCAUCCAAAUGCCCACUAUUCUAACCACCAGUGGCACAGUAUCGAAACUAGUUUUCUAGAUUAUAAGUUGAUAAGGCCAACAUAUAAUCCUCAUGGGCAGGACCAAAUCAUAGCCCUACUGAAAUUUAUAAACACAGAAGCAU
rnacentral:lncRNA from 1 species